rnacentral:rRNA from 1 species
GUCGAGAAUCUUCCGCAAUGCGCGAAAGCGUGACGGAGCGACACCGCGUGAUGGAUGAAGUCCUUCGGGGCGUAAACAUCUUUUAUAAAGGAGGAAAUUUUUGACGUUACUUUAUGAAUAAGGGGCUCCCAAUCUCGUGCCAGCAGGAGCGGUAAUACGAGAGCCUCAAGCGUUAUCCAGAAUCAUUGGGCGUAAAGGGUGCGUAGGUGGUUUGAUUAGUCUCCCGUUAAAACUUCGAGCUUAACUCGAAAAGAGCGGGGGAAACGGUCAAACUAGAGUAUGUGAGAGGUGUGUGGAACUCAUGGUGUAGGGGCGAAAUCCGUUGAUAUCAUGGGGAACACCAAAAGCGAAGGCAGCACACUGGCACAUCACUGACACUGAGGCACGAAACCUAAGGUAGCGAAUGGGAUUAGAAACCCUAGUAGUCC